rnacentral:lncRNA from 1 species
ACGGAGGCUCAGAGAGGGAGUGUAGGGGGAGGAUGUCAAUGGGAGGCCCCAGCCUGAGCCCUGAGCAGCUGGCCAGCCAGGAACUGGCAUGUGAGUGAGAGGCAUCCUAUUCUCCUGCUGCUCCAAAGACAAUGCCCGCUGAACAGGAUGGCAGGCCACAUCAGCAGUCCAUACAGAAGUGAGGCUGUCGUUUCUUCCCCUGGAGCACCAGUGAGGACAGGCCCCAGCUGGGAGCCAGGCAACCGCGGACAGAGAGAAAUGCCGAGGAAUAGGGGCGCGGCCGCCCGGUUUCGGCGAUGGGUUAUAGGGUCCGCGUCAGCCCCGCGCCCGCACAGCCAACGUCACGCCGCAUUCUUAUUUCCAAAGACCCCUGGAGCUUGGGGUCCCACCCCAGCGGUCUUUCGGGGCGUCCCCUGCCCUUCACGCGCCGCGCCGGCUCGGCCCGAAGCGCCCUGCGGACCCGCAGCCUGGGCCGCCCCGAACCUGACGGCCCCGCGGGGGUCGGACGCGGGAGGAACGGCCUCGCUUUCAGAGACGCAGCGGGAGGGCGGUCCCCGCUGUCCCUCUGGCCGGGUCCUCAGCACGCGUUCUCCUCACUCCCAGGACUAGCGAGCGGCGGGCGCGGACCGGGGCCUGGGGUCGGAGGCGGCGCAGCCAGAAAGGCCCCAGCGGCGCUGAGACGUUUGGGGGAAGGCGGGGGCUUCGCGUUUCGAUGGCGGGAAGCGGAAUGAGGUUGGACCGGCCGGGCCGGCGUUCAGGGACCCGGCGGGAGGCGGAGGGCUGGCGUCCUCGCGGACAUCCAUCUGCAGCGAACCAGGCAGAGGCUUUGGGAUUAGAUCCUUGACUCCUUGCGUCAGUAGUUAAGCUUUGUGAUGGUCUGAGGUCCAUGAAGGGAUUAAAACCAGGAACUGGCUCCUUCUCCAACCACUAAAGCCUCAUCUGGGCCCACAAGCCCUGGCUGUUCCCUGGAGCGUGACUGGAAGAUGUGAGCAGCUUUGUGCUGGAGCCCCAUUUCCAUGGUGCAUGCUGCUGCCAAACCAGAGAUCACUUGUAGACUUGAAAGGGAACAUGAGCUUUGGGUGAAGGAUUCCCAGCCCCCAACAGAGGCCAAAAAGCUACCACCCAGCCAGGCAGAAGGAACAUAAAGUAUGCAUUUUAUGAUACGACUCAGCUUGGAGGGAUGAAGUAGAAGGUCCUCACUGCACCUCAUGGCAGGCUGCUGACGGCAGAUAUUUUACCGGGCUCACUGAACUGGGCAGUCAGGGAAGGGUCGGCUCCUGCUCUGUCCAGCUGUCUUCAUAAGGGACUCUGUGACACUUUUUAUAAAAAUGACUUUGAUUUCUGCAUAAGAAGGCUUCCCAAGCUUGCUGUCUAGCAGUGGCUGCUACAGGGAAUUAUUCACAUGGCAGCAAGAGAGCCCUGGCUCCCUGGACCAGGACAUUCCCUUUGUGUGUGUUGGAAUGAGAGCAGGAGGAGUGCUGGUCAGAAGCCCCUCCCCAGGGCUCUGGGACUUCAGUGUUCUCAGACAAACUGGGCCGCUCCUCUGAGCUGGGAUGCUGACCCACACUUGGCCCCGGCUCUGGCAUCCACAGGACGCUGCCUUAUCCGUCAUCUCGCUGGGGCUGGGGGCUAGAGGCUGAGCAGGUCACACUGAACAAAAGAAGUGUGUCCCCAUCACUAGGCUAACAUCUGAGUUUCUUCCACAGUAUUUGGUAACACAGUCAGAAACAAGACUGAAGAUGAUUCUGGAGGCAACUGGGAACCCCCCAGAACGAUUCUGCAGGCUUCUGGGAAGCUGAAAAACCCCAAGGCCAGACUGGCCUCAGAAUGCCUGAGUCCUUUUGAUUCCACUGGAAAAGCCAUCCAUCUGUGCCAAGUGUGUGGAGAGCUUCAAGAGCCAUAUAGCCCUGGCCACCAUGAGCACAGCCACGUGGGGGAGUAGUCCUGAAAGUGUCCUGGUGUGGCAAAGGCUUUCCACUAAGUGGACCUCAGAUGGCACAGGAAGACCCUCCUGGGGAUGUGGGAGGACACUGCCUAGUGGGUGAGGGGCCGCUCUUUCAGGUGUGCACACUAAAUGCAGAGACAGCCUCUCCUGGCUGCCAAGAAGCCUGUGCAUGAUCCAGGACCACAAAACACUUGCAAACUCACUGCCCAGAGGCCCUGUGCCUGUCUGGAGUGUGCCCAGUGUGUCUGCGCCCCACAGCUUGUCCUGGCCCGCCAGCAGAGCCGCAGCACUGCAGGGCCCUUCUGUUGUGAGUGCCAGGGCCCUUGCUGGCUGCCUGAGCAAGGCAAAAGGUUCAAAACAGGAAGUCUCUGGGCAGCUAUUCCCAGGUGCAGAGGGGAGCAGCGGCCACACAGGUGCCAGUGUGGCAGGAGCUGCAGUCAGAGGCAGCAUCUCAAGAGCCCUGGGAGCAGGGGCCAGCCACGUGAAGCCCACGAGUGUCGCUGGCACAGGGAAGGGACACGAGGAUCACACUGACCCAAGAGAAGGCCCACAGUGAGGAGGCCCCACCGAAGCAUCCCCAGCAACAGGGACUGAGGCAUCUGAGGCAGCCAGCCCACUCGGAAAGGCCUGCUGACUGCACUCCAGAUGUCAAGAGCACCCUUGGGAAAAAGAAAGGCAGGAGUGCAGCACUUUCUAGAGCCUCAGCUCACUUCUCUCCUUCUAGCUCCAGCCGGAGUGAUGGAAGAGGCUGCGCUGGGAGCUGCCUCCCUGGGAGCCUACCCUGCCCAGCCUGAGAGUGGAGGCUACCAGCAUCACGCUUCCCCUAGUGAAAUCCAUCUGUCCUGAAGGGAACCCUGGGACGGGGUCAAGGAAACCCUGUUCACCCCCACCACGGGGUCAGGUCUUCACCAAAGGGAGGCCGCACGGAUUCCCAGUCGCAAACCCAAAGCCUUGCUGCCUUUGCCUCUGUUUCCAUAGUUGUUUCAAUGUCUUUUUUAAAAAUCACAUACACUCGAGUAAGACUGAGUCUCCUCACCGAAGAGAUCUGGCUGUAUCCCGAGUCUCUGAAACCUUUGCUCCAGUCCCGUGGGAGCGUGCCGUCCCGAGGAUGUGGAGCCGCAAGGGCUCGCCAGAGGGAUCUCAGGAGCUAGGCCUCAAGGAGCGCUGUUGAGUGACAGGUCUGAUGCAGUAGCUUUUACUAUUGGUGGAAAUCGAUGUUUUUUCCUUGAAAGUCUACCUUUCUAAGUUCAGUAAACCAAAUUAGAUCAUGUAUGUGAAAGCACUUUGUAAACUAUGCAGUACUCCAGAAAAGGCAGCCAAGCCCUUAAUUAUAACUCACCAAACAGCUAGAGAGGAAAGAAACUGAAAGACAAAAAUCAGAGCCUCUGUCAGCCAUGAGAUCCAGUCCCAUUUCUGGUGAC